AGGAAAACUUGAAGAUUAAAAAAGUGCUAUUCAAUGUUAAUCUGGAGUAUUGAGAUUCAAAAUUUAUUAAAUGAACAACUGGAAAUCAUUUUGUAUGCAAGUAUAACAUGUGUGGAGAAGAACCCUCUAGCUAGUCCGUCAUUUAUCAUUUUACCUUAAUUUUAUGUUUUUGUCAAUUCUGUAAUUUAAUUAAGUUUAAUUUACUUUUCAUCAAAACCAAACACCCAUCCAUUAUUAAAUUAUAUUAUUUAUUUAGUUUUCUUUAUUGUUAGUCUUUUAAUUUAAUUUCCAUCCAUUGCAGUUCCUAGUGUCUAAUUUGAUUGUUUUCAUUAUUUUGAGUUAUCCUAAGUGUGUUUCGAGUUAUUAGAGUUUUUAGCCUAGUUUUGUGUCCUUGAGUCUUAUUUAAUAUUUUUAAAUUAAUUUAGAAUAGAUUAGCAAUCCCUCCUAAUCCCCGGCCUAGAACGAUACCCUACUUACAUCUAUACUACAAUUGUCAAAAAGAGGGUUUAAUUUGUGUGUCAAGUAAUUCUCGCACCAAAUUUUGGCGCCGUUGCCGGGGAUUAGUAACUUUGCUAAUCCUUUUAUUUUUGUUUUUGUUUAUGUUUAUAUUGGUGUUUGUGUAUUUUACUUUUGAUAUUUGAUUUAUUUUUCUUUCUUUGAUUUUAGGCACAAAUGGAGCUGAGGGAAAUUUAAAGGAAAGAUGCGUCCGGCUAAAGACGUUAAAUCAAGCGCUUCUUGGGAGGCAACCCAAGCAUUCAACGAAGG
rnacentral:lncRNA from 1 species